rnacentral:rRNA from 1 species
UAGGGGGCAAGCGUUAUCCGGAUUCACUGGGUGUAAAGGGAGCGCAGGCGGCACGGCAAGUCUGAUGUGAAAGCCCGGGGCCCAACCCCGGGACUGCAUUGGAAACUGUCGGGCUAGAGUGCCGGAGGGGUAAGUGGAAUUCCUAGUGUAGCGGUGAAAUGCGUAGAUAUUAGGAGGAACACCAGUGGCGAAGGCGGCUUACUGGACGGCAACUGACGCUGAGGCUCGAAAGCGUGGGGAGCAAA